rnacentral:lncRNA from 1 species
ACAAACUAAAACCUCCAAAAUAAGAUGCAACCUAUGAUAUAUAUACAUAGUUUAACUCAAGCAAUGAACAAACAGAAAAUUAGUUCACAAAUAUAACACCACCACUUGCAUUCCAAAACACGAUUACCAAUUUCAUUACAGCACACACUGCCAUUAUCCAUACAAGUUCUCCAAAACCACCAUCUUAAACAUCCAUUACCUAUUUAACACUUAAUGAAGAUAAAAUUGAACACAGCCACCAUUUACCACCACCAAACCUAAGCAAUAGAAUAUACUCAAUUUAUUUAUGGACAAAAAUAGCAAAGUAAUAUUUCGAAACAUCAAAAUCAGUUUUGCCUACUACCUAUGGGGCGUGGCCCUUCCCUUUUCCAUUCCCAUUCACAUCGGCACUUUCCUUUCUCUUAUGAAAUGUCAUAUUCAAUGAAAUUUCAAUAUCUCUUUUUUCAACUAUUCUAGCUAGACUGUCGAACAUGGUCAGCAAAUCUUCGGCUUCCUCGAUGGCUUCAAGAUUCACUGCUUCAUUAGUCGUGUUAGAUUCACCGCUUGAUUCUUCGUUUACGAUCCAAUCAAAAUACCCACAAUUAACACUACAUGUUUUGAAUAAUCGCCCUUUGUUCUUUGUCUCCCUUUCAACUUCAAAACAUUUUUGCAGUUCGUGCGUACAUCAUGGGCAUCGUCGUUUUAUCGAGCAAUUCAGGAAGGAGUGGUCUGUACUUCUAUAGCCGUAAUAGACGCCAACAUUCCUCCCCCUUAUGCUGGAAAGAAAAAACUGAAUUAUUAACAAAUAUCCGCACUCAUUGUCCACAAUAUUAUCGAGUGAAUGAACAACACCAAACUGAUGGCUAGAAAAAAAUUGAAUUUGUCCCAGUUUAUAAGUAUACUCGAUUGCAUAAUUUCCAAUGAACUCGAAAUUCAUCUACAACACAUAUAUAAUGAACAAAUUCCAAUGAUCAGAGAAUGAUAUAACAUGCAUUUAAUUUGUAUAACAUGCAGUGAAGUAUCAGAUACAAGUUGGCAUUAUAUUAUUACUGUCGAAAAAUCAAGUGAAAUUCUUGAGAAUUACAUAUUUUCUCAACAGAUGUUUCGUCUAAACUUUAAAUUAACUUCCUCAUAUGCUAAAAUGAAUCAUAUGUUUAAAUCUACAAGUUGAACUACAUUGUGAUUAACAAAUUCAACCUACAUUUAAAGUUUACAUUUGCUUAAAAAAUCAUAGUAAGCAAAAGAUUAAAAAGAUCCCAACGUACCAAAUUCAAUUACUGUACAUACAAAUCGAAUACUAAAAACUUUGAGAAAAUAAAAUCACAAAAAGGCUCUGAAAUUACAACCACUCAAACAAAUGUCAAUUUCUUCUAGGCUCUAGAAUUUUAACCUGUACAAGUUAUACUUUCAUUUGGAUCAUAAAUACACACAUUGAUAAGCAAAUUCUAUACAAACCUGAAUUACACCCUGAUUGUUCAUAAUGCAGACUCAUGACAAAAACAUAAAUCAAUUUAAAAAUCACAAAAAAUAGAAAGUAAAUAAGAACCCAAAAACCCCGGCUCAAAGAAUAGAAACACCAAAGAAAAAAGGGCAAAAACUAAAAGAAACAUCUAGGUUUCCAUAAACCAAAAAAUCAAACUAACUAAAAUUUUUUAUCUGGUAUAACAGAGAAAAUGUGUGAAAAAUUAACUUCAAAGGAACAUGAAGAUGGUAACACAUAAAAUUGAAAGCCUAGCUAUCAAUUUUUUCUUCAUAUUAAAAUCAUAUCCAACCAUAAUACGAACGCAACUGAAAUUAUUCAAAAUAUUUAAAACUUAAAGAAAUGAAAAGGAUAUUCAUCUCUUUCGAUUAAUCCCGUGGAGGGAAAAUCAACAGCUAGAGAGAGAUGUAGAAAUGAGUCCAAGUGGGUUUAAGUUACUGAUUUUCGAAAUAAGGAGUGAUUACUGUGGGGUGGGGUGUCUACCGAUCGAAGUAGAGUGACGUGAUUUUGGGUUUUGAAUUUCGUAAAUCGAAUUUUUGCCCAACGUUCAUAAUCAUAAUCUUUCAUUUACACCACCAUAUUCCCAAAAUUACCAAACAACACCAGCUUCUGAAAACAACUAAAAGAAGAAGUGAAAUUCGGCUUACCUGAAGCUAAAAGAUGGCAGAUACUGGGUCGACACUACUCCACAGGCUCAACGUUGUGGAUUUUGCUGCGGCAAUUCGUCGAUCGGGCU